rnacentral:rRNA from 1 species
UUGGGGAAUAUUGGGCAAUGGGCGAAAGCCUGACCCAGCAACGCCGCGUGAAGGAAGAAGGUCUUCGGAUCGUAAACUUCUAUCCUUGGUGAAGAUAAUGACGGUAGCCGAGAAGGAAGCCCCGGCUAACUACGUGCCAGCAGCCGCGGUAAUACGUAGGGGGCAAGCGUUGUCCGGAAUGAUUGGGCGUAAAGGGCGCGUAGGCGGCCUGGUAAGUCUGGAGUGAAAGUCCUGCUUUUAAGGUGGGAAUUGCUUUGGAUACUGUCGGGCUUGAGUGCAGGAGAGGUAAGUGGAAUUCCCGGUGUAGCGGUGAAAUGCGUAGAGAUCGGGAGGAACACCAGUGGCGAAGGCGACUUACUGGACUGUAACUGACGCUGAGGCGCGAAAGUGUGGGGAGCAAACAGGAUUAGAAACCCCGGUAGUCC